rnacentral:rRNA from 1 species
UACGUAGGGCGCAAGCGUUGUCCGGAAUUAUUGGGCGUAAAGAGCUCGUAGGCGGUUUGUCGCGUCUGCUGUGAAAACCUAAGGCUCAACCUUGGGCUUGCAGUGGGUACGGGCAGACUAGAGUGCGGUAGGGGUGACUGGAAUUCCUGGUGUAGCGGUGGAAUGCGCAGAUAUCAGGAGGAACACCGAUGGCGAAGGCAGAUCUCCUGGGCCGUAACUGACGCUGGAGGAAGCGGAAAGCAUGGGGGAGCGAACAGG